rnacentral:rRNA from 1 species
UACAGGGGGGGCAAGCGUUGUUCGGAAUUACUGGGCGUAAAGGGCGCGUAGGCGGCGUGUCAAGUCAGGCGUGAAAGCCCCGGGCUCAACCUGGGAACCGCGCUUGAGACUGGCAUGCUCGAGUUCGGGAGAGGAUGGUGGAAUUCCCAGUGUAGAGGUGAAAUUCGUAGAUAUUGGGAAGAACACCGAUGGCGAAGGCAGCCAUCUGGACCGACACUGACGCUGAGGCGCGAAAGCGUGGGGAGCAAACAGG